rnacentral:rRNA from 1 species
UACGUAGGGGGCGAGCGUUGCCCGAAUUUACGGGGCGUAAAGCGCACGUAGGCGGCUCCGUAAGGCUGGUGUGAAAUCUCACGGCUCAACCGGGAGGCUGCACCAGAUACUGCGGGGCUCGAGGACGGGAGAGGAGAUUGGAAUUCCCGGUGUAGCGGUGAAAUGCAUUGAUAUCGGGAGGAACACCAGUGGCGAAGGCGGAUCUCCGGCCCGUUGUUGACGCUGAGGUGCGAAAGCUGGGGGAGCGAAAGGG